rnacentral:rRNA from 1 species
CCUACGGGAGGCAGCAGUGGGGAAUAUUGCGCAAUGGGCGUAAACCUGAACCAGCGAAGCCGCGUGAGGGAUGAAGGUCUUCGGAACGUUAACCCCUGUCUGCAGGGGAGAACGGUGUCUGUGCUGAUCUGCAGUGAAUUGACGGUAUCUGUAAAGAUCGCCUCGGCUCACUCCGGGCCAGCAGCUGCGGUAAUACGGAGGGUGCGAGCGUUGAUAGGAUUUACUGGGCGUAAAGCGCUCGUAGGCGGUAUGUCAAGUCAAGGGUGAAAUCCCCGCGCUCAACGAUGGAACUGCCGUUGAAACUGGCAAACUUGAGUGUGUGAGAGGAUAGUGGAAUGCGAGGUGUAGGAGUGAAAUCCGUAGAUAUCUGGAGGAACAUCAGUGGCGAAGGCGACUAGC